CCUAACUUGUUACAGUUAAAUUAUCGGUAUAUCAAUUUUAUAUUUAAUCGCGUGUAUAGGAUGUAGAUAUAAUCAUUUUUACUGGGUACGUAUUACCUUUUCUGCAAGUAAAAAUGUAUGUAUUUUUGUCUAUUUAUUUGAUUUUCUGUUUUAAAAUAUUAUAAUUUAUUAUUGAGCUAUUAUACUGAGAAAAAGUAAUUAUUUGUAAAUGUAUUUAAAUUAAACGAAGUAAAACAGUUACCUCAAAAAUGUUUUUUUUUUUAAAUAACACCACGGAUCUAUAGCAUACUUAAAAUUCGUCAUUGCUCGUAUUGUGCUGCUGUGCCAUAAUGGGAAUUCAGUCAGAUUUCUGUACAACAGUCAACAGGCUAUCUGUUUUACGUGAGUUGAACAAUAAGCUUAAUUGAUAAUAUUAGAUACACGAUGAAAACAAGUGAAGAUACCUACCCCAGAGAUUCUUCGUCGUAAAAUAGAUAUAGGUUUGAUGAAAUUUGAAAAAUACAAUUUAUCUGAAGACCAGAGUUCACUGGAUUUAAAUGGUGUACCUAUAUAACAUUUAAAAUCAAUCAGCAGCUUAUUUUUUUAACAGUGUAUUUUAUAUUAAUUCAAGAGUCUAAAUAAUCUUGUUUUUAACGAAUAUAUUAUGUAGGUAUAUACAUUUCAAUUGUGUUGUACUCUGUAAUAGAAUAGAUUAAUAAUAAUCGUCAGUAAAACAUAUUUUUUAUUGUGUAUGCCGUUAGUGGACUUGAUUGUGUAAGCUUUUAACACUUUGGUCUAUACAUAUUUCAAUAUUUUUUCAAAAGAUAAGUUCUAAAGUACAUCUGAGUGGCCCGUCAUAAAUUAUCAAUAUUUGUGUUGGAAAUAAA